rfam:Oryza barthii chromosome 12, whole genome shotgun sequence.
UCUUAAAACAAUCAUAAGUUUUUUUUUUUCAACUUUGAUUGUCCGUCUUAUUAGAAUUUUUUUUUGUAAUUAGUAUUUUUUUGUUGUUAUGAGAUGAUAAAAUAUGAAUAAUCCUUUACUUGUGAUUUAUGUUUAUUAAUUUUUUCAAAAUUUUUUUAAAUAAGACAGACGAUCAAAGUUGAGCGCGGCUGCACUUAAA